CCUACGGGCGGCAGCAGUGAGGAAUAUUGGUCAAUGGACGAGAGUCUGAACCAGCCAAGUAGCGUGAAGGAUGACUGCCCUAUGGGUUGUAAACUUCUUUUAUAUGGGAAUAAAAUGUUCCACGUGUGGGAUUUUGUAUGUACCAUAUGAAUAAGGAUCGGCUAACUCCGUGCCAGCAGCCGCGGUAAUACGGAGGAUCCGAGCGUUAUCCGGAUUUAUUGGGUUUAAAGGGAGCGUAGGUGGAUUGUUAAGUCAGUUGUGAAAGUUUGCGGCUCAACCGUAAAAUUGCAGUUGAAACUGGCAGUCUUGAGUACAGUAGAGGUGGGCGGAAUUCGUGGUGUAGCGGUGAAAUGCUUAGAUAUCACGAAGAACUCCGAUUGCGAUGGCAGUUCACUGGACUGCAACUGACACUGAGGCUCGAAAGUGUGGGUAUCAAACAGGAUUAGAUACCCCUGUAGUC
rnacentral:rRNA from 1 species